UAAAAAAGAACUCUGUUUGCUAUCAAGAACACAUUUACAUUAAUAUGACUUUGACAAAGUAAAAUAAAAUCGCAUUAAGAUGAUGUAAGUAGAUAAGACAAUGAAAUCUCUGUGAGAUAGUUUUGGCACACCAAUUAGAGUCAAGUCCCUACAGGAAAGGAGCAUAUUUUUACACCGAGUAUCCAUGUGCUUUUAAGUUGCAGAGCAGCCAAAAUUAAUUCCACGCUUAAAAUAUUUCCAGCAAGGGAAAAAGGGUUUAUUAUUAUCUUUAUUUUUCCCCUCGAAAAGGUAAAAUUUCUGAUAAACUGCAUUUGUAUUUGCAAUAACACAAACACGUUUUGUUCUCCACACCAGUCUGUAAUCAUCUUGAUUAUUGCGAGGGACUUUCCAAUAUAGAGCAGCUGAAAACAAGGUUUUAGAUUACAUGGUAAUUUAGGAAUGCAUGAAAAGCCGAGCAGUCCCCAUAAUGGAGCGCUGCACAAACUCCAUGGCUUUUACAGCAAAGCAUAACAUAUGUUUUGUGAUUCAUUCAGAUGAUUUUUCGGGUUUUUCGGGCAGGGCUCUACCAAAGCGCACCGAGCGCUGUCCUGCGUUUGGGUGCCCCACCGCUCUGACAGCCGCAGCCACCCUAACACUUGGAAGCCUCUCCUUCUGCAUGGUCAUUGAAAGCAGGGCAGUGAUGGAUGGCGAUAAUGCUGCGGGUUUAUGACUAAUCGGGCCUUGGCAGCCCCGACGCUUCCUUUGGAGCUGAACUCCCAUACUCUCUUCGCAAGAGCCAGACUUUGGAAGGGGACUGUGGAAAGGAAUUGCUGAAGGAGCUGAAAACAUCAGAGCACUUGGAAGGGCCGUUCCCAACCUAGCAGUGUCCACUGCUCGUGGUGCAGAGGUCACUUAGCUGCUUUUCCCCAGAGCUCUCCUGCCUGGGAGAGGCCAGUCCCUGUGUGCUUGGGGAACAGCAGGACAGUCUGAGAAGGCACUCUGAGAACAACCCAGCCUUGCUGAAAGUAGGCCUUGGCUUUCCACAUGUGGGUCUGAGCCUCUGUUUUCCAAUGAGGUUUGGAUAUCAAGGGAGGCCAAUAACCACAGCGUAAUAUCACUCCAGCUCCAUCUCAGGGGUAGUGUCAAUUGUGCUCAACCAUUCAAUAGUUCUGAAAUAAAUUGCCUCGUUAGCAUCAUCAUACCACAAACAUGGGGGGUAAUACUUUGUUUCUUUUGCCUCCAACUGUGACCCAGUGAUAUGUUUGUCAUGGCUUGGCUGGAGGACAUACAGAGCUCCCGGGGAACAACUUCUAGGAAAAUGCUAUGUAUGUUUCGCCUG
ensembl:lncRNA